UACAGAGGCCUCGAGCGUUAGGCGGAAUCACUGGGCUUAAAGCGUGUGUAGGCGGACUUCUAAGUACCUUGUGAAAUCCCACGGCUCAACCGUGGAACUGCUGGGUAUACUGGUUGUCUUGAGCCAGCUAGGGGCGAGCGGAACAGACGGUGGAGCGGUGAAAUGCGUAGAUAUCGUCUGGAACGCCGAAGGUGAAAACAGCUCGCUGGGGCUGCGCUGACGCUGAGACACGAAAGCCAGGGGAGCGAACGGG
rnacentral:rRNA from 1 species